rnacentral:rRNA from 1 species
UAGGGAAUCUUCCACAAUGGACGCAAGUCUGAUGGAGCAACGCCGCGUGAGUGAAGGAGGGUUUCGGCUCGUAAAGCUCUGUUGUUAAAGAAGAACGUGGGUAAGAGUAACUGUUUACCCAGUGACGGUAUUUAACCAGAAAGCCACGGCUAACUACGUGCCAA